UAGGGCGGGACACGUGGUAUCCUGUCUGAAUAUGGGGGGACCAUCCUCCAAGGCUAAAUACUCCUGACUGACCGAUAGUGAACCAGUACCGUGAGGGAAAGGCGAAAAGAACCCCGGCGAGGGGAGUGAAAAAGAACCUGAAACCGUGUACGUACAAGCAGUGGGAGCACGCUUCGGCGUGUGACUGCGUACCUUUUGUAUAAUGGGUCAGCGACUUAUAUUCUGUAGCAAGGUUAACCGAAUAGGGGAGCCGAAGGGAAACCGAGUCUUAACUGGGCGUUAAGUUGCAGGGUAUAGACCCGAAACCCGGUGAUCUAGCCAUGGGCAGGUUGAAGGUUGGGUAACACUAACUGGAGGACCGAACCGACUAAUGUUGAAAAAUUAGCGGAUGACUUGUGGCUGGGGGUGAAAGGCCAAUCAAACCGGGAGAUAGCUGGUUCUCCCCGAAAGCUAUUUAGGUAGCGCCUCGUGAAUUCAUCUCCGGGGGUAGAGCACUGUUUCGGCAAGGGGGUCAUCCCGACUUACCAACCCGAUGCAAACUGCGAAUACCGGAGAAUGUUAUCACGGGAGACACACGGCGGGUGCUAACGUCCGUCGUGAAGAGGGAAACAACCCAGACCGCCAGCUAAGGUCCCAAAGUCAUGGUUAAGUGGGAAACGAUGUGGGAAGGCCCAGACAGCCAGGAUGUUGGCUUAGAAGCAGCCAUCAUUUAAAGAAAGCGUAAUAGCUCACUGGUCGAGUCGGCCUGCGCGGAAGAUGUAACGGGGCUAAACCAUGCACCGAAGCUGCGGCAGCGACGCUUAUGCGUUGUUGGGUAGGGGAGCGUUCUGUAAGCCUGUGAAGGUGUGCUGUGAGGCAUGCUGGAGGUAUCAGAAGUGCGAAUGCUGACAUAAGUAACGAUAAAGCGGGUGAAAAGCCCGCUCGCCGGAAGACCAAGGGUUCCUGUCCAACGUUAAUCGGGGCAGGGUGAGUCGACCCCUAAGGCGAGGCCGAAAGGCGUAGUCGAUGGGAAACAGGUUAAUAUUCCUGUACUUGGUGUUACUGCGAAGGGGGGACGGAGAAGGCUAUGUUGGCCGGGCGACGGUUGUCCCGGUUUAAGCGUGUAGGCUGGUUUUCCAGGCAAAUCCGGAAAAUCAAGGCUGAGGCGUGAUGACGAGGCACUACGGUGCUGAAGCAACAAAUGCCCUGCUUCCAGGAAAAGCCUCUAAGCAUCAGGUAACAUCAAAUCGUACCCCAAACCGACACAGGUGGUCAGGUAGAGAAUACCAAGGCGCUUGAGAGAACUCGGGUGAAGGAACUAGGCAAAAUGGUGCCGUAACUUCGGGAGAAGGCACGCUGAUAUGUAGGUGAAGUCCCUCGCGGAUGGAGCUGAAAUCAGUCGAAGAUACCAGCUGGCUGCAACUGUUUAUUAAAAACACAGCACUGUGCAAACACGAAAGUGGACGUAUACGGUGUGACGCCUGCCCGGUGCCGGAAGGUUAAUUGAUGGGGUCAGCGCAAGCGAAGCUCUUGAUCGAAGCCCCGGUAAACGGCGGCCGUAACUAUAACGGUCCUAAGGUAGCGAAAUUCCUUGUCGGGUAAGUUCCGACCUGCACGAAUGGCGUAAUGAUGGCCAGGCUGUCUCCACCCGAGACUCAGUGAAAUUGAACUCGCUGUGAAGAUGCAGUGUACCCGCGGCAAGACGGAAAGACCCCGUGAACCUUUACUAUAGCUUGACACUGAACAUUGAGCCUUGAUGUGUAGGAUAGGUGGGAGGCUUUGAAGUGUGGACGCCAGUCUGCAUGGAGCCGACCUUGAAAUACCACCCUU
rnacentral:rRNA from 1 species